rnacentral:rRNA from 1 species
AUUGAACGCUGGCGGCAGGCCUAACACAUGCAAGUCGAACGAUUCGCAGACGGGUGAGUCAUGUCUGUGAACCUGCCUGAUGGAGGGGGAUACCUACUGGAACCGGUCGCUAAUCCCGCAUCCCAUCGGCUGUGCCCCGAUGGGAUUAGCUAGUAGGUGGGGUAAAGGCUAACCUAGGCGACGAUCCCUAGCUGGUCUGAGAGGAUGACCAGCCACACUGGAACUGAGACACGGUCCAGACUCCUACGGGAGGCAGCAGUGGGGAAUAUUGCACAAUGGGGGAAAGCCUGAUGCAGCCAUGCCGCGGGUAUGAAGAAGGCCUUCGGGUUGUAAAGUACUUUCAGCGGGGAGGCGUUACCCGCAGAAGAAGCACCGGCUAACUCCGUGCCAGCAGCCGCGGUAAUAC